AUCUUGUAUAAUGGGGGAACCCCUGAUCAACCCACCCCGCGUGUAUGACGAGGGCCUCCGUCUUGUAAAGUACUUUUUUCAGAGAAGAAAAGGAACCCCCUAACACGGGAAACCGCCGCCGGUCUCUCCAGUUUAACCACCGCCCAACUACGUGCUUGAACUCGCGGUAAUACGUAGGGUGCAAGCGUUAAUCGGAAUUACUGGGCGUAAAGCGUGUGUAGGCGGUUCGGAAAGAAAGAUGUGAAAUGCCAGGGCUCAACCUUGGAACUGCAUUUUUAACUGCCGAGCUAGAGUAUGUCAGAGGGGGGUAGAAUUCCACGUGUAGCAGUGAAAUGCGUAGAUAUGUGGAGGAAUACCGAUGGCGAAGGCAGCCCCCUGGGAUAAUACUGACGCUCAGACACGAAAGCGUGGGGAGCAAACAGG
rnacentral:rRNA from 1 species